UAGUCCACGCCCUAAACGAUGUAUACUCGGCGUUUGAUCUUCGGAUUGGGCGCCCAAGGGAAACCAUUAAGUAUACCACCCGGGGAGUACGUUCGCAAGAUUAAAACUCAAAGAAAUUGACGGGGGCCCGCACAAGCGGUGGAGCAUGUGGUUUAAUUCGAAGCAACGUGCAGAACCUUACCUACCCUUGACAUGCCGGUCGCGAUUUCCAGAGAUGGAUUUCUUCAAUUCGGUUGGACCGUGCACAGGUGCUGCAUGGCCGUCGUCAGCUCGUGUCGUGAGAUGUUGGGUUAAGUCCCGCAACGAGCGCAACCCUCACUGUUAGUUGCCAGCAUUUAGUUGGGCACUCUAGCGGAACUGCCGGUGCUAAGCCGGAGGAAGGUGGGGAUGACGUCAGGGUCCUCAUGGGCCCUUACGGGGUAGGGGCUACACACGUGCUACAAUGGCGCUGACAGAGGGGUUAAUCCCUAAAAGGCGUCUCAGUUCGGGAUUGUCCUCUGCAACUCGAGGGCAUGAAGUUGG
rnacentral:rRNA from 1 species